rnacentral:rRNA from 1 species
AUUGAACGCUGGCGGCAUGCUUUACACAUGCAAGUCGAACGGUAACAGGGAGCUUGCUCCGCUGACGAGUGGCGAACGGGUGAGUAAUGCGUCGGAACGUGCCGAGUAGUGCGGGAUAACGCAGCGAAAGUUGUGCUAAUACCGCAUACGUACUGAGGUAGAAAGUGGGGGACCUUCGGGCCUCACGCUAUUCGAGCGGCCGACGUCUGAUUAGCUAGUAGGUGAGGUAAAGGCUCACCUAGGCGACGAUCAGUAGCGGGUCUGAGAGGAUGAUCCGCCACACUGGGACUGAGACACGGCCCAGACUCCUACGGGAGGCAGCAGUGGGGAAUUUUGGACAAUGGGCGAAAGCCUGAUCCAGCCAUGCCGCGUGUCUGAAGAAGGCCUUCGGGUUGUAAAGGACUUUUGUCGGGGAGGAAAUCCCCAGCGCUAAUACCGCUGGGGGAUGACAGUACCUGAAGAAUAAGCACCGGCUAACUACGUGCCAGCAGCCGCAGUAAAAC